CGCUGGCGGCAUGCCUAACACAUGCAAGUCGAACGAGACCGUUCGGGUCUAGUGGCGCACGGGUGCGUAACACGUGGGAAUUUGCCUCGGGGUAUGGAAUAACUCAGGGAAACUUGAGCUAAUACCAUAUAAUGUCUUCGGACCAAAGAUUUAUCGCCCUGAGAUAAGCCCGCGUAGGAUUAGCUAGUUGGUGGGGUAAAGGCUCACCAAGGCGACGAUCCUUAGCUGGUCUGAGAGGAUGAUCAGCCACACUGGGACUGAGACACGGCCCAGACUCCUACGGGAGGCAGCAGUGGGGAAUAUUGGACAAUGGGCGAAAGCCUGAUCCAGCAAUGCCGCGUGAGUGAUGAAGGCCUUCGGGUUGUAAAGCUCUUUUACUCGGGACGAUAAUGACGGUACCGAGAGAAUAAGCCCCGGCUAACUCCGUG
rnacentral:rRNA from 1 species